AAAAAAAGCCGGUACAAGCGUAUAGCAGUCAUGCAGGCAAAACCGCAUGAAAAAUGUAAAGCGUUAUGUGGAUCGAACAUUAGUAGAGAAGCGUGUGAGCCAGCUGCCAAGAAAAGCCGCUAUUGCUUCAUAAGUACCCGUACCGUAAACCGACACAGGUGGAUGAGGAGAGAAUCCUAAGGCCGGCGGGAGAAGUGUUGUUAAGGAACUCGGCAAAAUGACUUAACUUCGGGAGAAGGAGUGCCACAGAGAUGUGGCCGCAGAGAAAUGGCCCAAGCAACUGUUUAGCAAAAACACAGGUAUAUGCAAAACCGAAAGGUGAGGUAUAUGGGCUGACGCCUGCCUGGUGCUGGAAGGUUAAGAGGAGAGGUUAGAGCAAUCGAAGCUUUGAAUUUAAGCCCCAGUAAACGGCGGCCGUAACGAUAACGGUCCUAAGGUAGCGAAAUUCCUUGUCGGGUAAGUUCCGACCCGCACGAAAGGCGUAAUGAUUUGGGCACUGUCUCAACAACACACCCGGUGAAAUUGAAAUACCAGUGAAGAUGCUGGUUACCUGCGCCAGGACGGAAAGACCCCAUGGAGCUUUACUCCAGUUUGAUACUGGGAUUCGGUACUGUCUGUACAGGAUAGGUGGGAGGCUAGGAAAUGGUGACGCCAGUUGCCAUGGAGCCAACCUUGGGAUACCACCCUUACAGUACUGGGUUUCUAACCUGCAGCCGUGACCCGGCUGGGGGACAAUGUCUGACGGGGAGUUUGACUGGGGCGGUCGCCUCCGAAAGAGUAUCGGAGGCGCUCAAAGGUUCCCUCAGAACGGUUGGAAACCGUUCGAAGAGUGCAAAGGCAGAAGGGAGCUUGACUGCGACACCGACGGGUGGAGCAGAUACGAAAGUAGGACUUAGUGAUCCGGUGGUAUAAAGUGGGAUUGCCAUCGCUCAACGGAUAAAAGCUACCCUGGGAUAACAGGCUUAUCACUCCCAAGAGUUCACAUCGACGGAGUGGUUUGGCACCUCGAUGUCGGCUCAUCGCAUCCUGGAGCUGUAGCAGGUUCCAAGGGUUGGGCUGUUCGCCCAUUAAAGCGGUACGCGAGCUGGGUUCAGAACGUCGUGAGACAGUUCGGUCCCUAUCCGGCGUGGGCGUAGGAUAUUUGAGAGGAGCUGUCCUUAGUACGAGAGGACCGGGAUGGACAAACCUCUGGUGUAUCUGUUGUUUUACCAAAGGCAUGGCAGAGUAGCCAAGUUUGGCAGGGAUAAACGCUGAAGGCAUCUAAGCGUGAAGCCCCCCUCAAGAUAAGAUAUCCCAUCUUCGGAGUAAGACCCCUUGAAGACUACAAGGUUGAUAGGCUUCAGGUGUAAGUGUGGUAACGCACUCAGCUGAGAAGUACUAAUAGGUCGAGGACUUGUUAA
rnacentral:rRNA from 1 species